rnacentral:rRNA from 1 species
UACAGAGGGUGCGAGCGUUGUUCGGAAUUACUGGGCGUAAAGCGCGUGUAGGCGGUUCAUUAAGUCAGAUGUGAAAUCCCCGGGCUCAACCUGGGAACUGCAUUUGUGACUGUAGAGCUGGAGUACGGCAGAGGGGGAUGGAAUUCCGCGUGUAGCAGUGAAAUGCGUAGAUAUGCGGAGGAACACCGAUGGCGAAGGCAAUCCCCUGGGCCUGUACUGACGCUCAUGCACGAAAGCGUGGGGAGCAAACAGG